ACCAGUGGGUUUAUUCUCUGCAAUGUAGCAGAGGUACCAAAGGGGCAAAUCAGAGAGAAGGGUCGAAGUCCGUGAGCAGGGGUCCAAAGCCGAAAGAUCUGUCCUACACGUAACCACGGGACACGAGAACACAGGAGAAGGGGAACAGGAGAGGCUGGUCUCGGCAGGGAAGGUGGGUCAGGUUCGGGAGCGAGUCUGGGGAAAGGAAGAGGACAAGGCAAGGCCUCCUGGGGGAUCUGAACAAAGUCAAAUCCACAGCCCUCAGAGAUGAGUUGUCACAUCAUCAUGGAGGAGAGGAGAACACGCUGGCUUUCAUCUGCUUUCAGGAAGGUGUGAUGUUCCUGAGUACAGGGAAGUCAAGAGACAUAACCAAAGGGGGAGACAGGACCACAAGCUAGAAAAGCUGACAACGGACCUUUGUGGGCUAUUUCAUUCAACAGAGUCGACGCAUGAAUUUUCAUAAGAAGUGCUAUAUCAAGUCUUUAUGUGUAAAUAUAUAAAAUGGGUUCAGGUGAGGUCUGAUACUAAGGUUAUACAGAAGUAUGUUUUGUGUGUUGGAGUUAUUCAUAGAUCUGUUAUUCACUCAUAUAGUUAAUCAGGCGUUGUAAUUAAAAUGGAGAUAAUUACUGUGCCUAUUUAAAUUAUCCUGGAAAUUUUUACCUAUAUUUUUAUGUACUUUUCAAUGCUAAAGAAUAUGUUCCAACCUGGAACAAGUCCAGAGAGCAUGAACAUCUGAAGCACUUCCCACAGGUCCCCAGCCUCUGGAUCUUGUCACCUCUGAGGAAAUUUCCCAGCAGCUCUUAUGAAUCAGCAGCUUGGAGACUUCGACUGUAAAUGUGGCCCAGUUAAGCCAAUAAAAUGCAUUAAUUA